rnacentral:rRNA from 1 species
AAGCAUAUCACUAAGCGGAGGAAAAGAAACUAACCAGGAUUCCCUUAGUAACGGCGAGUGAAACGGGAAGAGCCCAGCACCGAAUCCCCUGCCUGCGCAGCGGGAACUGUGGUGUUUAGGAGAGCCUGUGGAGCGGGCGGAGGCGUCCGAGUCCUUAUGAAAGGGGCUACAGCCAGAGCGGGUGUCAGUCCUCUAGGACGCCACCGUCCCGUUGCUCAGUACCUCCUCGGAGUCGGGUUGUUUGUGAAUGCAGCCCAAAGUGGGUGGUAAACUCCAUCUAAGGCUAAAUACUGGCACGAGACCGAUAGCAAACAAGUACCGUGAGGGAAAGUUGAAAAGAACUUU